rnacentral:tRNA from 1 species
GGUUUUAUAUUUUAUUAAAAUAUUAGGUUGCAAAUCUAAAGUUGAAUAUUUAAGUUCUAAAACUU